GAUGAACGCUGGCGGCGUGCCUAACACAUGCAAGUCGAGCGAAGCGAUUUUUAAGAAGUUUUCGGAUGGAUUAAAGAUUGACUGAGUGGCGGACGGGUGAGUAACGCGUGGGUAACCUGCCUCACACUGGGGGACAACAGUUAGAAAUGACUGCUAAUACCGCAUAAGCGCACAGUACCGCAUGGUACGGUGUGAAAAACUCCGGUGGUGUGAGAUGGACCCGCGUCUGAUUAGCUAGUUGGUGGGGUAACGGCCUACCAAGGCAACGAUCAGUAGCCGACCUGAGAGGGUGACCGGCACAUUGGGACUGAGACACGGGCCCAAACUCCUACGGGAGGCAGCAGUGGGGAAUAUUGCACAAUGGGGGAAACCCUGAUGCAGCGACGCCGCGUGAGUGAAGAAGUAUUUCGGGUAUGUAAAGCU
rnacentral:rRNA from 1 species